AGUCAACUACUUAUAAAUUUCAAAUUGUGCAUUUUCUAUGAUAGUUAUGGAGAUACAACAAUUAAGCAGAUAACAAGCCCGAACAUUAAGCAAAAUAAUGGAUUCCAUAAAUACAACUUUGAGUUAUACGUAAGGAAAUCUGGAA